GACGAACGCUGGCGGCGUGCUUAACACAUGCAAGUCGAACGGAAAGGCCCUGCUUUUGUGGGGUGCUCGAGUGGCGAACGCGUGAGUAACACGCGAGUAACCUGCCCUUGACUUUGGGAUAACUUCAGGAAACUGGGGCUAAUACCGGAUAGGAGCUCCUGCUGCACGGUGGGGGUUGGAAAGUUUCGGCGGUUGGGGAUGGACUCGCGGCUUAUCAGCUUGUUGGUGGGGUAGUGGCUUACCAAGGCUUUGACGGGUAGCCGGCCUGAGAGGGUGACCGGCCACCUUGGGGCUGCGAGACGGCCCAGACUCCUACGGGAGGCAGCAGUGGAGAAUAUUGCACAAUGGCCCGACGCCUGAGGCAGCGACCCCGGGUGCGGGAUACCGGCCUACGGGUUGUAAACCGCUUUCGCCUGUGACGAAGAGUGAGUGACGGUAAUGGGUAAAAAAGCAACGGCUAACUACGUG
rnacentral:rRNA from 1 species